AGCCUUAAGUUUUAUUUAAGGUGAAGCCUGCCCAGUGCUUAGCGUUAACGGCCGCAGUACCUUGACUGUGCUAAGGUAGCAUAAUCAGUUGGCUUUUAAAUGGAGUCGGGAAUGAAUGGACUAAUGGAGUGAAGCUGUCUCUCUUAUAUUAAUUUUAACUUACUUAUUAAGUGAAAAUGCUUAAUUUUAGAAAAAAGACGAGAAGACCCUAGGAGUUUUAACUAAAUGCUACUUUGUAGCUUAUGUUUUUGUUGGGGCGACAUAGGAGUAACUUAAACCUCCUUUAACUUAUCUGCCGACUGUGUAUGAAAAUUUAAACUACCCUAGGGAUAACAGCGUAAUUCUUUUUGAGCUUGCGACCUCGAUGUUGGACUAGGAAUUCGGCAGGCUAGCCGCCUGUUUUUAUUGUUCUGUUCGAACUGUUUUUCC
rnacentral:rRNA from 1 species